rnacentral:rRNA from 1 species
GACGAACGCUGGCGGCGCGCUUAACACAUGCAAGUCGAACGGAAAGGCCUGCUUUCCCUUGUGGAUUGCGGGUACUCGAGUGGCGAACGGGUGAGUAACACGUGAGUGAUCUGCCCCCAACUUGGGUAUAAGCCUGGGAAACUGGGUCUAAUUCCCGAUAGGACUGCAGGGUGGUGCCUGUGGUGGAAAACGAUUUUCAUGUGGUUGGGGAUGAGCUCGCGGCCUAUCAGCUUGUUGGUGGGGUAAUGGCCUACCAAGGCGGCGACGGGUAGCCGGCCUGGGAGGGUGGACGGGCACGUUGGGACUGAGAUACGGCCCAGGCUCCUACGGGAGGCAGCAGUGGGGAAUAUUGCACAAUGGGCGGAGGCCUGAUGCAGCGACGCCGCGUGGGGGAUGACGGCCUUCGGGUUGUAAACUCCUUUCGACCGCGAGGAAGCCACCUGGUUGGAAGGGUGGUGACGGUAGUGGUAGAAGAAGCACCGGCUAACUACGUG